rnacentral:rRNA from 1 species
UACGUAGGGUGCAAGCGUUGUCCGGAAUUAUUGGGCGUAAAGAGCUCGUAGGCGGUCUGUUGCGUCGGCUGUGAAAACCCGAGGCUCAACCUCGGGCCUGCAUUCGAUACGGGCAGACUAGAGUUCGGUAGGGGAGUCUGGAAUUCCUGGUGUAGCGGUGAAAUGCGCAGAUAUCAGGAGGAACACCGGUGGCGAAGGCGGGACUCGUGG